UAGUUAAACUCUACUAUUAAGGA
rnacentral:tRNA from 2 species